rnacentral:rRNA from 1 species
GUAAGGAAUAUUGGACAAUGGGCGAAAGCCUGAUCCAGCCAUGCCGCGUGAAGGAAGAAGGCGCUCAGCGUUGUAAACUUCUUUUGGAUAGGAACAAUAACCUCGACGUGUCGGGGCUUGAGGGUACUAUCAGAAUAAGCACCGGCUAACUCCGUGCCAGCAGCCGCGGUAAUACGGAGGGUGCAAGCGUUAUCCGGAAUCACUGGGUUUAAAGGGUGCGUAGGCGGUUCGAUAAGUCAGUUGUGAAAUCUCUUGGCUUAACCAAUGAAAUUGCGAUUGAUACUGUUGAACUUGAAUAAGGUUGAGGUAGGCGGAAUGUGGCAUGUAGCGGUGAAAUGCAUAGAUAUGCCAUAGAACACCGAUUGCGAAGGCAGCUUGCUGGACCUUUAUUGACGCUGAGGCACGAAAGCGUGGGGAGCAAACAGGAUUAGAUACCCUAGUAGUCC